rnacentral:rRNA from 1 species
AAACCAACAGGGAUUGCCCCAGUAACGGCGAGUGAAGCGGCAACAGCUCAAAUUUGAAAUCUGGCCCUCGGGUCCGAGUUGUAAUUUGUAGAGGAUGCUUUUGGCGCGGUGCCUUCCGAGUUCCCUGGAACGGGACGCCUUAGAGGGUGAGAGCCCCGUACGGUUGGACACCAAGCCUCUGUAAAGCUCCUUCGACGAGUCGAGUAGUUUGGGAAUGCUGCUCUAAAUGGGAGGUAAAUUUCUUCUAAAGCUAAAUAUUGGCCAGAGACCGAUAGCGCACAAGUAGAGUGAUCGAAAGAUGAAAAGCACUUUGAAAAGAGGGUUAAAUAGCACGUGAAAUUGUUGAAAGGGAAGCGUUUGCGACCAGACCUUUUCCUAGCGGAUCAUCCGGUGUUCUCACCGGUGCACUUCGCUAGGUUUAGGCCAGCAUCGGUUUCUAUAGGGGGAUAAAAGCUCUGGGAACGUAGCUCCUCCGGGAGUGUUAUAGCCCUCUGCAUAAUACCUUUACAGGGACCGAGGACCGCGCUUUUAGCAAGGAUGCUGGCGUAAUGGUCGUCAACGAC